rnacentral:tRNA from 1 species
CAGGAAAUAGUUUAGGUGAGAAUAGUAACUUUGGGAGUUACUGGUACAAGUUUAGAAUCUUGUUUUCCUGA